CUCGUAUGUGGGAAUAGCUUAAAAGAUUUCUGGAUCGAUUCCCUGUCGAUCUGUGUCAAAACCCCGACACAAAUUUUUGGAUCGAUAUUUUUUCAAAUUUUGUGGGGCAACCAAAAUCCAGGACAACCCCUCAACCCCUUACGAAGGGGCACAGCAAUUUUCCAUCUAAACUUUUGAGGCUCAGACUCAACGGCCCGCUUUCCUCGUCAGGACUCUUGACUGAAUCAUCGUCCUGUGAGCUACAAGCAAUUAGUUGCCCCUAAUGCGAAAGUUUUCCAUUUAUCAAACUGUCAGUGGAGUGCGGAAUUGACACGGCUGAUUUAAUUAUUUACUUAGUAAUAUGAUUUAAUUAAAAAUUCAUAUUGGAGUCGCAGGCGAACCGGCUCGAGGGAUGCAGAGUGUGCUGCGAAGACAGUAGGCUGCUGUGUGGGGUGUGUGUGUUUUUUCACCCGCAUGUGUUAAUUUGUAUAAUAAAACUUAAUUAAAGUCAAAACAAACAAACAAACGAGCCGGGGAGACUACGACAAACGCAGGCAAACAAAUAAAGAGGGAAAACUUUCGCCUAGCCGCAAAGCGUUGGCAAAGUGAAGCCGCAAUCAAAGUAGAUUAAGAUUGUGGAGAUCUCGGUUUUCCCUGGCAAUUAAAAAUACGGAUUGCCAUUGGAAAGACACACACAGCACGCAGGACUCACAAUACACAGGAUGGAGUGGAUUUUUCAGUGCACUUUGUGUGCAAAAUUCAACUCUCAGCUCGACAAAACUCAAACGCAUUCCCAAAAGUCAGGGGAGGUCCUGGGGAGCUGGCUGGGAAAGGAGCAUUCCCGCAGAUACGAAUACGCAUCCGGAUCCCCUCCGCCCUAGACGAAAAAGGCCAAACAUGACAGAGAGCCAAACCAGCAGGGCGAAAUGCAAAUUAACAUUCGGAAUGUGGAACGGUUCUUGCAGCUAAUUUGCAUAAAGCGUUGGCGUCCACGUCCUGGCUCCUCCACCCUGGCUCCCUCCACUUGGGGCGUAAAACAUUUUUACAAUAUUUACGAAAUUGCAAUAAUGUUUGAAAAGCAGAACAGCAGCAGCUGAGGAGGCGAUGGAAAAAUGCGUUUUGUUCCUUUUGCGAUGCGGCAAAUUGUUGCCGAGAAGGACGACAUUUUGCUGACAGGCGAACAUGCUGCAGGAGUCGUCCUCGAACGGGGAAAUACGAAUUUAUGGGCCAAACAACAGGAGGCUCACCAUCGCACACACACACAACCAUGGAGUGUACAAACGAGUAGUCCUGUAUGCGUCCUGUCAAAUCAAAUGG